UCCGUGACUCCAUGGGUACUUCUGCUCCAGCAAACCACAGAAGGCCCCUGAAUCCAGGGAAUCCAGGUGCCAGUCAGUUCUUUGUUAAGGCAGGCACACUUCCUAGACCUGUGAAUGCAGACUUGGCUCAUUCCUCCAAAGCCACAUCUAAAUACUAGCCCACAUGGAGGAGAUUUUAGCUAUCUCUGCCACACAGUCCUUCAUGUGACGAGGCUUUUCUGAGGAUUUGAGCGGGUAGGGAAGAAGACAGUGAAAUGGUCAGCACCCACCGAAGAGUUUGGCAGGCCAGGGAGAAACACAAACCCCAGCUGCAAUCAGGUGUGGCAGUCUGAGAGUCCAGCUGCUUCUUCAGCUUUUAUUUUUAUACCUGUGUUUCUAAAGAGCAGCACACAUGAUUUUUUCAGAAAGCUUGCAAUAAACUUGCACACCCAUCUGUGGCACUCUGUAGCAUUUUAUCCACCUUCAAGAAAAGAGGAGCCAAAUCCCAGAGUCCAUUUGAGGAGGACUCCUGUGUGGGAUCUCAGGUUCCACAGCUCUGGUCACAGGAGGGAGAUGACAUGUCUUCCCUGGCCUUAUGGGAUCCCUAGCACCGACCACAGAUGGGAGCAGCUUGGGGACUGCCCACCAUCAUCCACCUUUCAGGACCCUCUGUAUGAGGCUAGUGGAUCUGUGGCUGCAGGUAUGAAGGACUGCAAUGUCUGGGCCUGUAGGUAUGGUCUUCUUUUCUUCUGGUGGUCUGUUACAAAAUAUAGUGGAUAACAGUGGAGUAUUUUGCUCUUUUGAAUACUUAUUUCUCUGUGCAGAUUUAUAUUACUUGUGUCGAUAUAUGAAGUGUGUUAAAUAUAAAAUGUACCACAUAUUAAAAAAAUGAAACAAAACACACACACACACAAAAAAAACCCAAAACAAAAUAAAACCAAAAAAACCCACCCCAACAAACAAUUUUAUUUUGGUUUUGGCAACUGUAAGUGUAAACAUUUAGGUAAAGAACAGAGAUGUUAGGUUUUGUUGCCAGAAUCUUACUCGUAAGGUACCUUAUCCCAUUAUUUUUUCUAUCUGUUCCAUCUUUUGGAUAUUAUUGCAGCAGCUUAAGAGUUUGAUUGAUUUCCACCAAGGCAUAGGAAGAGAAUGUGAGAAGAGUCAGAACUGCUUAAAGUCACAAUCUUAACUGCUGAAAUACUCUAUGAAAAUUGUUUCUGAAUUUAUGUUCAAAAUCCUCCACCUGGUUUGCUGAAUGAGGAGGAAAAGGGAGCAGGGGAUUUUUCUGUCAGUUCUCCACAAGCACAGCUCUAUUGAAUAUUUAAAUACAGCAUUUGCAGGCAGUGCAUGUAAUUAUACCUUUUUUUUCUGGUGAACAACAAUUUACAAAAGAUUACAUUUACCUUUUUAUUAGAAUAAC